AUUGAACGCUGGCGGCAGGCCUAACACAUGCCAGUCGAACGAGUGGCGGACGGGUGAGUAAUGUCUGGGAAACUGCCUGAUGGAGGGGGAUAACUACUGGAAACGGUAGCUAAUACCGCUUACCAUCAGAUGCGCCCAGAUGGGAUUAGCUUGUUGGUGGGGUGACGGCUCACCAAGGCGACGAUCCCUAGCUGGUCUGAGAGGAUGACAAGCCACGGUGGAGCUAAGACACGGUGCAGGCUCCUACGGGGGGCAGCGUUGGGGAAUAUUGAACAAGUGGCGCAAGCCUGAUGCAGCCAAGCCGCGUGUAUGAAGAAGGCCUUCGGGUUGUGCUGUACUCUCAGCGGGGAGGCGUUACCCGCAGAAGAAGCACCGGCUAACGCCGUGCCAGCCGCCGCGGUAAUUC
rnacentral:rRNA from 1 species